ensembl:lncRNA
GCCGGCGCCGGAUGAGGGCGCCUCCCUUCCCGGGAGGGCACCCACCCCAGCUCCCUCUGCUUGCCCGUGCUUUGACACAGUGGCGGUCAUCUCAUCACUGACGCGCGGACACGUGGACUCAACACGUGGUCCCCCGUGCAGUCGCUGAGUCAGAGCACAUUUCCUGAGCUGGGACCGCGCGCCCAUCGCGGUCCUGAGAGGUUCUGAGCCACAGGGCAGGGCCUGCCUCCCGUGAAGCCGAGCUUCCAGCAGGAGAGGAACAAACUGCAACAGGAGCGUAAACCAGUAACAGCACCGCAGCAGCCGCGGGAGGCCAGCUCCACAGACAGGGCAGCUGCGCUUUCAUCAGGAGGGGAUCCAAGCGGAGGCCUUAAGAUGUGCCAGAUCCUCUCAGACACAGAUCUUAUCAGCCUUUCAGCGUCCAGCUGGUGACUCUGGAGUUUUAUUUAGUUGAUUCCCCAACACCCGCUCUAAUUCAGGAUCUAAAUCAACAGCCCUCCUGUGUGACACGUGUCCAGUUCGGGUGUGUGCUUGUCACUUUACAAUGAUGAGGAAAACCAUCACAUAAACAUUUGGCAGAGAAACAAUUUUCAAUUUGCUGUUUUCAUCGCACCUGAGCUUAGGCAAGAGAGUCUCGGUUUCCAAACCGUAGGCGUGGUCUCAGCUCAGAAGCAGCACUGCGGGCCGUGAGUUCCGUGAUUUCAGUGUUUCCCACAAAUCUUAUCACGCAGGGUUUCUUUCCUGGGGGAAUGGGAAGUCAGCUCAGCCCCUGACCCUGACCUCAGGGCUCCUGGGCUCUGCUCUGGGCUGAGGGACGGACUGUGAAGUUGGAAACUUUGAUCACAUGGACACGUCAAGGCCUGCAGACCUCUGCUUCUUUAUCAGGUAAACUGAUAUGGACUUGGAGACCGGAUCGAUCGGGUUUUGUUUUUAGUCGUAAAUAGCAGUUGAAAAGGUAGAUGCUCAGACUGAAGAAAAGAUUUUUUUUAAGAGAAAUUAAGACCAGAGUUAGGCUCUGCACAUAAAUUUAAAACACAUUUUCAGAGCCUAAGAUUUUUGCUAACAACACUCUGGCCUAGUCACACCAGAUCCCCGGUGAGACCUAGAAAACAUCCAGAGAAACCCGGAAUCACGUGGGACUUGAUCCAAAAGACUGACGGGAACCACAGUGGAAGCAUAAUGUCUAAGCCCGUGAGAAGGUUAAUGAUGAAAUAAUCAACGUUGGCCUCACGGCCGCCAGAUGAGCAACUGUCCCUGACGUGUUGGACCAGAGGAGGCCAGAGCUCCUCACCAGGCCCCAGGGAUGCCAGCAAAACUCUGCCCUCCAACAGCUUUCUUCCUGAUGAGAGAGGAAACAGAAGAAACAAGCAAAUCACACAAAGGAUGUGACCAUCACAGGGCACCGAGUGCUGGGGGGACACAGGGAGGCCAAGGGGGCCGUGGAGGGCAAGUUCAGACAGAGGGAGAGGGUCUCACGGAGAAGAUGCUCUGAAAGAGCUGGAGGGCC